rnacentral:tRNA from 1 species
GGGUGUGUACUGUUAAUGAAACAGGGUUACUUUGCAGAGGUAAUUUUAAGGUUUGAUUCCUUCACGCUCU